GACAAAUGAUCGCGGCUGCCUGUCCGAAAGGUGGCAGACGAGGAAAGUCCGGGCUUCAUAGGGCAGGAUGCCGGAUAACGUCCGGUGGAGGUGACUCCAAGGCCAGUGCAACAGAAAUAUACCGCCUCUUUUGAGGUAAGGGUGGAAGGGCAGUGUAAGAGACUACCGCUCAUCCGGUAACGGAUGAGGCAUAUGUAAACCCCAUUCGAAGCAAGACCGAAUAGAAGACAAUGCAGCGGCCCGUUGCGUCUUCAGGUGGGUCGCUUGAGCCUUGUGGUAACACAAGGCCUAGAUAGAUGAUCAUUCAACGACAUAACCCGGCUUAUCGUCCCGCUUAU
rnacentral:RNase_P_RNA from 1 species